CCUACGGGAGGCAGCAGUAAGGAAUAUUGGACAAUGCUCGCAAGAGUGAUCCAGCCAUGCCGCGUGCAGGAAGAAUGCCCUAUGGGUAGUAAACUGCUUUUGAACUAGAGAAAACCCCAGUACGUGUACUGGGCUGAUAGUAUAGUUAGAAUAAGCAUCGGCUAACUUCGUGCCAGCAGCCGCGGUAAGACGAAGGAUGCAAGCGUUAUCCGGAUUCAUUGGGUUUAAAGGGAGCGUAGGUGGACUGAUAAGUCAGUGGUGAAAUCUCCGAGCUUAACUCGGAAAUUGCCAUUGAUACUGUUGGUCUUGAGUACAGUUGCUGUGGGCGGAAUAUGACAUGUAGUGGUGAAAUACAUAGAGAUGUCAUAGAACACCGAUUGCGAAGGUAGCUCACAAAGCUGUAACUGACACUGAGGCUCGAAAGUGCGGGGAUCAAACAGGAUUAGAUACCCUGGUAGUCCGCACCGUAAACGAUGAUUACUCGCUGCUAGGGGGCAACCUUUAGUGGCUUAGCGAAAGCGAUAAGUAAUCCACCUGGGGAGUACGCCGGCAACGGUGAAACUUAGAAGUAGUAGACGAGNGAGAGCGACGGACGGACGACGACGGAGGGAGGAG
rnacentral:rRNA from 1 species